rnacentral:rRNA from 1 species
UGGGGAAUAUUGGACAAUGGGGGCAACCCUGAUCCAGCAAUGCCGCGUGUGUGAAGAAGGUCUUCGGAUUGUAAAGCACUUUCGACGGGGACGAUGAUGACGGUACCCGUAGAAGAAGCCCCAGCUAACUUCGUGCCAGCAGCCGCGGUAAUACGAAGGGGGCUAGCGUUGCUCGGAAUGACUGGGCGUAAAGGGCGUGUAGGCGGUUUGUACAGUCAGAUGUGAAAUCCCCGGGCUUAACCUGGGAGCUGCAUUUGAUACGUGCAGACUAGAGUGUGAGAGAGGGUUGUGGAAUUCCCAGUGUAGAGGUGAAAUUCGUAGAUAUUGGGAAGAACACCGGUGGCGAAGGCGGCAACCCUGGCUCA